rnacentral:sRNA from 1 species
GUUUAGCCCUGAUUGAAGUGGCAUCCUUUUUUACUGUCAGUUCGAGUGAAUUUUGAAGAAUGAAAAAUUUGUAUCGAGAAAAGAAGUAAAAAAGAUAUAACGGAAAGCAGGAAAUAGC